rnacentral:lncRNA from 1 species
AUGUGGCUGACCGGGCGACCAUCCGCAGCGACAGAGCAGGCAAGGGAACGGAUCAGUCCAGAACAGCCACCGGAGGAGAGACCGGCCACGAGAGGUGGACAAUACCUUACCUCGAAUUUCCGGAAUGUCAGGUGUGGAGGGAGACCGGGGCCGGCCAAUCAACCCGUUAGGGGAUCGUCCAGGCACCCAGCUCCCAGGUUUCAGCACCAGAAUGUAAGAAAAUUCUCUGGGCCAGAGUCGGAUCAGGCUUUACUGGAGGAAAACCUGCCAGGCAGUACUCUCAGAUUAAACCAUGGUUUCUCAGUCACCAAGUGGAGCGUCCUCAUUUAUAGUACAAUUAAUAUCAAUACUCGGACUUGAAGGCAUUUGAGUUUCAAUCAACAUUCUUCACAAGCUUUCAUCUUUGCUCCGUGAUUUUUCAAUAAUAUAGUUGCUGAUGAAUCACUGCUUUAUUUUUUGCUUUUUUUCUAUUUACAAAUAUGUACACAUUUGGUCACAUUUGAAACAGUAUCUGAGUAACACUGUUCUGCAGCAUGCUACCCCUGCCAAAACAGUUGGUGUUUUUCACUAGGGCUUAAUUGUCUUGAUUGCCACUACCGAAACCCAGGAUAGGCCAUUCACUUUAGCAGCCAGAAGGGACAGUGACAGCAGUGAUGGCCCCUGCUUGCAGUAUAGGGAGGAGUUUUUAGUUGUAAUACAGGAUUCUGGUCAGCUAACUUCAAGCACCAGGAAAAAGAAGACAGGACUUGAUUUUGGAAUAAUUAGUACAGUGCUGAUAAUAGAGUGGUAAUAGUAUCAUGAUGACAAUGCCAUCAUUGUCAAAUAAGCACUCCACUCCAUUGAGUGCAAGGGAUGAACUAAACCUGGAAGGGAAAUCAGAUUUUCACCCUAACCUAUCAUCUAUCCCAUCAUCUCUUUUAUUUUCUGAAUUCAAUUGAUUUUCAGACAUCAAAAUUCUUGGAAAUAUUUCCAAGCAUUAUUUGAAAAUUCUAAACUUACUAUUGUCAACAAGUAAAAUGAAUUAAAUAUACAGACUGUGUAAAACCUCAGAUGCAUCAUUGUCAUUCUUUACCACUGGCAUUACCAACUAAUAACUUUCAAAGUGUUGAAACAUUCAAAAGAAUUUGCCUCCCUCAGGGAGAAAUAAAGCAGAAAAAGAACAUGGAGGGCAUCUAUUUUUAGAAGCAGUGAUUUCACAGAUAUCAGAAAACCAGUGAACCAAAUCAAUUGUCACAUUUAAAGCAGGGGAAAGGCUGCUCUCUAUUAGAGAAAACAGAUUAAAUCAUUUGGCCCAGUGUGUAAGCAAACUUCAAGAAAAAGUUCUAUAAUGUUUUAUGAAAACUUAUCAAAAUUAAAAUCAAUGUUUGAAUACAAAUUUGGGUGAAAAUAUUUAUUAAGAUGUUUAAAUGUGUCAAACAGAAAUAAAACAUGCCAAGUGGUAAAAUGAACCUUACGAUGAUUAAGUAAAUACUUUUAAAUCAAACUUAAAUGCACGUUCCUAUUUCUUUUUUCAAUAAGGCGAGUCCUAUCCUGGACCAGAGUCAACAGGGCUGACUCCCACUUAAAGGGAAGGUGUAAAAAUCUAAAGGCUCCAAGAGAAACAGAACAGAACAAAGCAGUCUUUUUAAAAUCACUUUAGGGCCAGAUCGCUUCAUUCCGGGCACAGCACCUCGCAAGCUUGACGUCCCACUUGACCAAGCGUGCUCAGCUGUUUUGAAGUGCUGUGAUAAAGAAACAAGCCCACUUCCCUUUUAUAAACACAAUAUAUAAGCUGCUCUCUGGAAAGGACCCCGCAGGUUACUGCCCAUUGCUUUUGGUGAGCUCAUGCUUUGACUCCGUCUGAUGUCUCACGCUAUAAAUCCCAGAAUAGCGACUCUCAGCUCCCCCAAGCCAGUCCAGGAGUCAGCACAUCCGCUAUCAAGGGCAAAGCUGGAGCCCCUUUGGACAUUGUAUGGGGAGAGGGGGUGACUCACUUGUAUUGGCAAUACAAUGCAAUACAAUACAAUUCAAUACAAUUCACUUGAAUUGGCAGUCUAGUUCCCUGGAGAGAGGGCACGACUAUCUAGUAUUCAUCUUUACAAUCUCAAAGCCUGGGACCAUGACAAGCAAUAAAUACUCAAUAAAACUGAAGGCAGGGAGGGAGAGCCGGGAGGGAAGGCAAGAGAGAGGCUCAUCUCACUAGUCAACCAAUGCACUGAUCAAACGUAGGCUUCGGAGUGUGAAUCCUGCUGCCUGCAGCUUAUUCCCACCUGCACACACCUUUCAAAGCAGCUUGAUUUACUUGAAAGGCCAUGGACUUGGUGGUCAGACUUGGUCCCAGCCCCAACUCCUCCCCUUCCCAGCCUCCAUGAGCGUCACAAUUUGGUGUGUAAAAUGGGAAGUGUUAUUCCUAAAGAGCAGGAUGGCUGGUGGACAGUACUGCAGUUGAGGACUUACAGCAGACACCUGUGAAAGAAGAGCUGUCCCUCCCCCCACCCCGCCCCAAGCCCACCUCAGGGAGGUGGGUUCAUUACCAAAGGCAUCCCACGGCGCAGGUCUCCACGGAGGGGUAUCCUUCACCUCCUUUCAGCAACUUCUGAACUAACACAUAAAUUCCAUCUCAAUCCGUUUUUUUAUUGUGCACUCAGUUUACCAUCGAAUGGCCACAACUACCACUGUUGUUUCCUAUAACACGAUCCUGCUUAAGGCAAGAGGUUCUCUAAAAACCAGGGUACAGGCGUGGAUGCGAUCAAAUGACCAACAGUGGCACUUGUUGGCUAAACUGGAGGACUCAGAGGUGUUUGGGGUCUUUACGGUGAUAAGAACAAGGACAGGGGUCGUGGCAAUGAAAGAGGAAGUGCAAAGAGAAGGCCCUCCAGAGAGAGGUAAGCAGGCCAGCAGACUAAUGCUUUUGGCUAGGGAAGUACUUUAGUGCCUCUUUUCUUUUAUGUUUAAAUGGCAAAGCCUCUUGUGAGAAUCCAGUGGAAUCAACACUUGACUCCACCGUAGCUGUUUUUAUUUGUGAAUCCAAAAUGAAAGAUCAUGUUUGAAAACUAAUCUCUUCCUCUGGUGUGAUACCCUUUGAUUGUGUGAAAUUCAGUUGAGGGACCUCUGAUUACAUGUUAGGAUUGCUGUAGGGCUUUUUAUUGGACUAUGUCAGUGAGGCAUGACUCAGGUUGAGUCCCACGCCCUUGUUGGGUCUGAUGAAAAUGGACACUCAGACACAGGAGGACUCUGCCAUUUUUGAUCCUGCCAUGUGACACGACUCAAAUAGCUGAGGCCCUGGGAAAGAUGAGCCGUUUCCCUGACAGCUCACAGCUGAGCUUGGGAGGAGAGCAGAUCAGUGUAGACGGAUACAGGAGACCCUGGAAGAAACAAGUCCUGUGCCAGGAGGGAGAGGACCACAGGAUCGCUUGAGCCCCAAGUCCCAAGCCCCAAGAGGCUGGGCCCACAGAGCUCAAGAGGGAAGGGGAAGCCCAGAGGGGAAGGAGAAACCUGGCAGAGAUCAGUGGUCAUCUUGCUUCACACGUGACCACACACUGGGAUCAACAUACUGAUUCUGGUGACAAAGCAUCUCUGAUGGUGCCUUGGUUUGGACUUUUCAUGGCCUUGGAAUUGUGUAAACUUUUACCCCUGUAUUAGUCAGCCAAAGGGGUGCUGAUGCAAAAUACCACAAAUGGGUUGGUUUUUACAAAGGGUAUUUAUUUGGGGUAGGAGCUUACAGAUACCAGGCCAUAAAGCCUAAGUUACUUCCCCCACCAAAGUCUAUUUUCACGUUGGAGCAAGAUGGCUGCUGACGUCUGUGAGGGUCCAGGCUUCCUGGGCUCCUCAGGGCUCAGCAUCUCUGUUUUCUCCACAAGGUCAGCUGUAGACUAGCAGUGAAUGGCUCUGUCUCUCUCUCUGGGGGUCCAGCUUAAGACCAGCAUCAACCUCCAACAUGAAAACUCCAACAUGAACAGCCCCAACCGGGUCCUUUGCCAUGCCUUUUACCUACGAAUCCCCACCCAGCAAGGGGCGGGUACUCAACGCCCUAUUGGCACAAGAGGCUUACUUGAUUAAGUAAUCAAGUAAACCUCUGCAUCCAAUAUAAUCUCAUAAGCCCACAGGAAAAGACAGUUUACAAACAUAAUCCAAUAUUUCUUUUUGGAAUUUAUCAAUAAUAUCAAGCUGCUGCAACCCCCAAAUAAAUCCCCUUUAUAAAAGCCAGGAGAUUUCCGGUACUUUGCAUCGGCAGCCCUUUGGCAAACUAAAAUACCACCCAACUUCAACCAUGCCCCAGUGGCCUAUCACUCCAGUUCUGGGCCUAAAUUAAGCCUUGGACGUGGCAUUGUAAUGAAGGAGGUCGUCAUAACUCCUAACAGAAGUCUGGUGCACCACCGUCCUCACUUUCCCAUUUUCUCCCUCUCUCUCCUUUGUGCAGCACCUCGAUUACUUCCUUCCUCCUCCUGGCUAUCCCUCCUCUUUGUCCUGUAGCGUAUACUUUCCUAAGCCCUUCCCCCACUCCCGACAUGUAUACAGGAAGACUGUCCUCACUGUAGCAGGCUGAAUAAUUGCCCCAAGAGCUCAGGCCCUCAUCCCUAGAACCUGCAAUAUAACCUUAUUUGGAAAAAGGGCCUUGGCAGACAAAAUUAAAGAUCUUGAGAUGCGGAGAAUAUCCUGGCAGGGCCCUGAAGAAAGAGGUAGAGGGAGAUCUGACCGUGUGUCCACGGAGGCAGAGAUAGGCAUGGCGGGGCCACAGCCAAGGAGCGCCAGCAGCCACCAGAAGCUGGCAAAGCCGGGAACGGACUCUCGCCUCGAGCCUUUGAAGGGCGCACGGCCAGGCCAAUACCUUGCCUUUGGCCUAGUGGUACCGACGGCAGACUCCUGGUCUCCAGAACUG